GACGAACGCUUGCGGCGUGCUUAACACAUGCAAGUCGAACGGAAAGGCCCUGCUUUUGUGGGGUGCUCGAGUGGCGAACGGGUGAGUAACACGUGAGUAACCUGCCCUUGACUUUGGGAUAACUUCAGGAAACUGGGGCUAAUACCGGAUAGGAGCUCCUGCUGCAUGGUGGGGGUUGGAAAGUUUCGGCGGUUGGGGAUGGACUCGCGGCUUAUCAGCUUGUUGGUGGGGUAGUGGCUUACCAAGGCUUUGACGGGUAGCCGGCCUGAGAGGGUGACCGGCCGCAUUGGGACUGAGAUACGGCCCAGACUCCUACGGGAGGCAGCAGUGGGGAAUAUUGCACGAUGGGCGGAAGCCUGAUGCAGCAACGCCGCGUGCGGGAUGACGGCCUUCGGGUUGUAAACCGCUUUCGCCUGUGACGAAGCGUGAGUGACGGUAAUGGGUAAAGAAGCACCGGCUAACUACGUGCCAGCAGCCGCGGUGAUACGUAGGGUGCGAGCGUUGUCCGGAUUUAUUGGGCGUAAAGGGCUCGUAGGUGGUUGAUCGCGUCGGAAGUGUAAUCUUGGGGCUUAACCCUGAGCGUGCUUUCGAUACGGGUUGACUUGAGGAAGGUAGGGGAGAAUGGAAUUCCUGGUGGAGCGGUGGAAUGCGCAGAUAUCAGGAGGAACACCAGUGGCGAAGGCGGUUCUCUGGGCCUUUCCUGACGCUGAGGAGCGAAAGCGUGGGGAGCGAACAGGCCUAGAUACCCUGGUAGUCCACGCUGUAAACGGUGGGUACUAGGUGUGGGGUCCAUUCCACGGGUUCCGUGCCGUAGCUAACGCUUUAAGUACCCCGCCUGGGGAGUACGGCCGCAAGGCUAAAACUCAAAGGAAUUGACGGGGCCCCGCACAAGCGGCGGAGCAUGCGGAUUAAUUCGAUGCAACGCGUAGAACCUUACCUGGGUUUGACAUGGAUCGGGAGUGCUCAGAGAUGGGUGUGCCUCUUUUGGGGUCGGUUCACAGGUGGUGCAUGGCUAUCGUCAGCUCGUGUCGUGAGAUGUUGGGUUAAGUCCCGCAACGAGCGCAACCCUUGUUCACUGUUGCCAGCACGUUAUGGUGGGGACUCAGUGGAGACCGCCGGGGUCAACUCGGAGGAAGGUGGGGAUGACGUCAAGUCGUCAUGCCCCUUAUGUCCAGGGCUUCACGCAUGCUACAAUGGCUGGUACAGAGAGUGGCGAGCCUGUGAGGGUGAGCGAAUCUCGGAAAGCCGGUCUCAGUUCGGAUUGGGGUCUGCAACUCGACCUCAUGAAGUCGGAGUCGCUAGUAAUCGCAGAUCAGCAACGCUGCGGUGAAUACGUUCCCGGGGCU
rnacentral:rRNA from 1 species